UCCUACAUCAUGAGUGUAUAAGUAAUAAAUAUGAUUCCCUCAAAAAAAAAAGUAAUAAAUAUGAUUUGCUUAUACUUUUUUUUUUUUUAACGCAAGUUUGCUAUACUCUUUAUUUUGAAAAAUUGAGAUAUUUUCCUUUAAAAAGAGUUGAAAAUUUAUACAUCUAUAUUUUUCAUCUUUCUGGGGGUAAUUUUUACUGUACUACCAGAGUAGCUAGUUCAGUAGUUCUCAACCUCGUUUCAUCCAGGUUCUCAAUCUCUCUCCUCCAAAAUUUCUUUUACCCUCUCUCCUCCCCUUGCUGAGAAAUCAUCGCCGGCAACCAAUACAAUAACCAUUUUAUUUUGCGUCCCCCAUCAAAGUGAAGGAUUUUCUGUUGAUUAUAGUGGGGGAUUUGCAGCAGAUCUGGAAUUUGAAAGAGAAAUUGGGAAGCCCAGAAAAGAAACAAACAUCAGAUAAUGGAACAGAAGAAAUCGUAGUCGAAGGUUAAUUUUUUCAAAGGCAAGUCAGGUAAUUUUUUUUCAUAACUUUUUUCCCUUAUUCCUUGAAACCACAAAUUGAUUUCUAUGGAUUCAGGGCAAAGAAUGUACUUACUUGAAUCGGCGCGACCGCAAUCUUAGGAGGAGAAACCGUGAUGGAGUUUCUGUUGAUGUUUGUGUGUUUUAGUUUUCGCUGAAAUAUUCUACUGGCGUCAGUUUUAGGUUUUCCAUUUUGAGCUCAUUGACAAAUUUGUCAAUUUUAGUAUUGGAAAAUUUCGUUGUAAUUUUGUGACUUUGCUAACACAAAAAUUUGUGAAUUUUUAUAAUUGUAAAUUUAUAAUAAGUAGCUGCAUUUUGGUGUGAAUUUCCUUUUUUUUUUAUCUUUAAUGUUUUGCUUAA